rnacentral:tRNA from 2 species
GGCCUGCUGGGCGGCCUUGGUCGUGCCGGUCAGGUUCAUCACCUGGCCGCCGAGCCGCUCGACCCAGCGGCGGGCCUCC